UUGCCUAAGGUCACAUAGCUAGUUAGCUGCA
rnacentral:piRNA from 1 species